GAAGUCCUGGAGCCGAACUUCUCCUGGGGAGCGUGGCGAGCCAGGUGGCGCUGCAGGACUUGCACGGCGCUCUGGCGGUGUCCACAUGGGAAGUUGCCGUGUGGCACGGUUGCGCGCUGUGCACUCACACCCUUCCUGUGUCUAUGGUCUUAGCAAAGGCUCUUGGUGAAGGCGCUCUCAGGUUCUUACUGCGUCUGAGCACCGCACUCAAGAACGCAUUUCAUUCGCCCUCCGGACUCCCAGGUGCCAUCUGACUAUUAGGAUGGGCAUAAUGGCCACUCGGGACAUUUUCUUCUGGCCCAUGGAAAUAUCACUUUAGGUCAGAUUCUGCAAACUUAGGCUGAGCACAUCUAUGGCAGGCAAGGUGCACUCCCCAGUCUGAGUAAAGGUGUCGGAAUUUGGCCCGAUUGGCCUGUCUCUGGUACAUUCGAUUUUUCUGGGCUCCCUUUUUUCCCUGCCCAAAUUGUGUACCAGCUCUGAAUGCGUACAUCUGAUUAAAAGAAAUAACGAGGAGCAUUUUAAUAGAAUCCAAGCUGGCAAGAUUGAUGGCAGCCGGUAGCAGAAGGAAUGCACACGGGGGCUGGUCUGUCUUUGUUUAACUUCUCCAAGGUUUUUCUCUCUUUUAACUUUAUGGAGAGACAGAUUGACAGACUAAUCAUCUGCUCCCCAUCAACAUCUGGCCUAUGUCUCGAGCUCUGGGCUUUACGUUGGGGUGGGGGGAGGGAAACAUCUUAUGAGUAACCGUUGCCAGAAUAGCUUCAGAGCGUAUCUCUCUUUUGAGUUUUCUUUGAUUUUACAGAACAUCUUGUAGCCCUCAACUCUACUUGGCGAUAAUCAGCUGAAACAAAGUAACAGGACCCCUAUAUGGGUCUGGAUAGGGAACAAGAGGAUGUAGGCACAGGACCCUCUCCAGGCUGCUACAAGGCAUCCCUGCUAUAAGUUGCCCCGGUAUCCAUCCAUUCUGCACUAAAGUCGUUGAUGCUUGUAGGAACUGAUGCAUUAUAAGUCCUCUUAUUCCCCGCUCUUAAGUUGUGCAGCGUCCCCCGCAAUUUGUACAAAUGGAAGUCAGCUGUGGAAAAAACUUCCCCACUUUAAGUUGUUUUGCUGUAAGUCCAAGUUUUUUGGAACGUACCUUGGACUUAUAGCCAGGAUGUCCUGUAGCGAGAACGGCCAGCAGACUGCUCAUAGAAGCACUUUGGGGGGGGGGGGGGGAACCUUAUAGCAUUAGCUGGACCAUAGGUACCAGACACAGUGGUCCGUGGAUGUCUGUCAGUGUCGGGAGGAGCAAGGAAAGGGCUGCAGAAGAGAGACGAAAUGUGGAGGGCAUAGAGCCUGCCGUCAGAGAAGAAUGGGGGUAGACGUCAAAAGCUGAGAUGGGGUGAGAACCCCUUCAGCAUUAAAACUGGCUUUGAGCCCUGCUCCGACUCCCUCUGGCAUGAUUUGCCAGGUCUGUCCCUGAUGACAAGGGGCCAGAGGAUCCUCCAGCUGAAAGCAUUAUGCUGCUGAGCCCUCCCAGCAAAGACAGAAAGACGAGGGGGACCUCUAAGAAUUCAGACUAAUCAGUACUUCCCCGUGCCCUGGUAAGAUCCCCAGGGGUCUGGGAGCCCCUGGAAUUGGCUGUGUUGACACUGCGUAGAGUCGGAACACUGCCUGGGCCUAGCUGGGAGGAUAGGUCCAAAGCCAUGUUAUAUCCCUGCUGUACUCCAUGUGUGGGGAGGUGGCACUUAUAGCAUGGGAUCCUGGUUCCAAUAUAACACGUGGCACUGUCCCCGCAGGCAAACCACAUGGGGUAAGAAAACUGCAAAGAGCUACAAAGAGAUCUCACAAAGCUUUCUUGGACAUCUCUGAAAGGGGACUGCAGAACAACUGUGUGCCAUGCACCUGUAACAAAUUUUCUGUCCCCACUGCUAUCAACUGAGGAAAGAUCAGGGAAGAGCAGAAGGGAGAUCUGGGCUCUGCCAGGCAGCCAUCUUGAGCUCAUCAGCCAUGUCUAUAUUAAAUGGAGGAUCAAUGCUGCGGAAGUCGAUCUUCUGGUGUUUAAUUUAGUGGGGUUAGUAAGGACUCACUAAAUCAAAUGCUGAUGGCACAGCCAUCGACUCAGUACUCCUCGCAGCCUUGAGGAGUAAGGGAAGCUGACAGGAGAGUUUCUCCCAUCGACCUCCUGCAAUGAAGAAAUUCAUCUCCGGCUACAUUAUUUACGUGGCUGUAGUUGUGCAUCUUAGGCAGUCCUUUUGGUUUAGUAUAGACCUCUGUGCCAUUGUUUCCCAUCUAAAAAUAGAGCCUGUAUGUGCCUUACAACCUCUCAGGUGUGUUGUCAGGAUCUUGAUCCAUGAAGGACUGUGGGGCAGGCAGUUAUUAUUGUAGUAGCCAUGAUAUUAGUGUCUUCCACUGUUUGAUCUGAGGAAGUGGGUCUGGCCCACGAAAGCUCAUCAUCUAAUAAACCAUCUUGUUAGUCUUUAAAGUGCUACAUUGUCCUGCAUUUUGCUUCA